UGCGUAGGCGGUCAAUUAAGUAGGGUGUGAAAGCUCUCGGCUCAACCGAGGAAUUGCGCUCUAAACUGGUUGACUUGAGUGAGAUAGGGGUGUGCGGAACUUCCGGUGGAGCGGUGAAAUGUGUUGAUAUCGGAAGGAACACCAGUAGCGAAGGCGGCACACUGGGUCUUCACUGACGCUGAGGCACGAAAGCUAGGGGAGCGAACAGGAUUAGAUACCCUGGUAGUCC
rnacentral:rRNA from 1 species